UACGUAGGGGGCGAGCGUUGUCCGGAUUUAUUGGGCGUAAAGAGCGUGUAGGCGGCCAGGUAGGUCGGUUGUGAAAACUGGAGGCUUAACCUUCAGACGUCGACCGAAACCAUCUGGCUAGAGUCCGGAAGAGGAGAGUGGAAUUCCUGGUGUAGCGGUGAAAUGCGCAGAUAUCAGGAAGAACACCCGUGGCGAAGGCGGCUCUCUGGGACGGUACUGACGCUGAGACGCGAAAGCGUGGGGAGCGAACAGG
rnacentral:rRNA from 1 species